AAUCCUGUAACUCAAUGGCUAGAGUUCUCAACUUAUAAUUGAGAUGUUAAUGGUUCGAUUCCAUUCAGGAUUA
rnacentral:tRNA from 1 species